rnacentral:tRNA from 1 species
GCCUUCGUGGUGUAGUGGUCAGCACGCUCGACGCGUAACCGAGAGGUCCGUGGUUCGAUUCCCGGUGAAGGCU